GACGAAGGGUGCGAACGUUAUUCGGAAUCACUGGGCGUAAAGCGCGUGUAGGCGGGACGGCACGUCGGGCGCUGAAAGCCCCCGGCUCAACCGGGGAACGGGCGCCGAUACGACCGGCCUGGAGGGACGUAGGGGGACCUGGAACUUCCGGUGGAGCGGUGAAAUGCGUAGAUAUAGGAAGGAACACCAGUGGCGAAGGCGACCACCUGGACUGAUACUGACACUGAGGUGCGAAAGCGUGGGGAGCAAACAGG
rnacentral:rRNA from 1 species